rnacentral:siRNA from 1 species
UGAGGUGCUUUGAAUGGUAAUGAU